CCUCAAUCUAAAUCUGUCUAAUUUUGCAGCGGCUGUUUAGGCCCACAAAAUUGUUAGAGGAGCAUGCCUAUUAAGACAAUUUGUAAUAAGAGUGUUCAGGUAGCUUACUUGCAGAUCGAGAUCCUUUGUGGAAUAAAUUAUACUAAAGAGCAGUUCUUCAAAAUCACGAAUGAAAGCUUCCCUAUCAAAGUCACGUUCGAUCCGGAUAAACUUGUAACGGGCUUGAAACCGUGUGACACGUACGUUGACAGUGAUGUAUGGAACGUCAUAAUCUCCUAUUAGUGGACAGGGUAGUACGUCCGCGUGGGUCACACGCGUCGGCAUGUUGGUAAUAGUGUGAUCUAUCAGUGUUGAUGAGUGCUGAGUGGUUCUUGUAGGUUUUGUGAUAAGUUGCUUUAAGUCCAUUGUUGUUAGAAUAUCUAUGUACUUUGAACUUGUAAUUUAUCUUUGCGAAAUAAGUCAAUGUUAAAGUCACCUGUUAUAAGGAGCAUUCCAUCCCAGGUGAUUGUAAGUUCACUCAGUAUGGAAUCAAAGUCCUCGAACCAAUCAUUAUAAGGCAUA